rnacentral:rRNA from 1 species
CAAGUCGAGGGGCAGCAGGACUGUAGCAAUACAGUUGCUGGCGACCGGCAAACGGGUGCGGAACACGUACGCAAUCUACCCAAAACUGAUGAAUAGCCCUCCGAAAGGAGGAUUAAUACAUCGUAACAUAUUAGAGUGGCAUCACUUUAUUAUUAUAGCUCCGGCGGUUUUGGAUGAGCGUGCGCCUGAUUAGGUAGUUGGCGGGGUAACGGCCCACCAAGCCUGCGAUCAGUAACUGGUGUGAGAGCACGACCAGUCACACGGGCACUGAGACACGGGCCCGACUCCUACGGGAGGCAGCAGUAAGGAAUAUUGGUCAAUGGACGCAAGUCUGAACCAGCCAUGCCGCGUGAAGGAUGAAGGUCCUCUGGAUUGUAAACUUCUUUUAUAUGGGACGAAACCCCCGAAUUCUUUCGGGAUUGACGGUACCAUAAGAAUAAGCACCGGCUAACUCCGUGCCAGCAGCCGCGGUAAUACGGAGGGUGCAAGCGUUAUCCGGAUUCACUGGGUUUAAAGGGUGCGUAGGAGGGCAGGUAAGUCAGUGGUGAAAUCUCCGAGCUUAACUUGGAAACUGCCGUUGAUACUAUCUGUCUUGAAUAUUGUGGAGGUGAGCGGAAUAUGUCAUGUAGCGGUGAAAUGCUUAGAUAUGACAUAGAACACCAAUUGCGAAGGCAGCUCGCUACACAUAUAUUGACUCUGAGGCACGAAAGCGUGGGGAUCAAACAGGAUUAGAUACCCUGGUAGUCCACGCCCUAAACGAUGGAUACUCGACAUACGCGAUACACAGUGUGUGUCUGAGCGAAAGCAUUAAGUAUCCCACCUGGGAAGUACGACCGCAAGGUUGAAACUCAAAGGAAUUGGCGGGGGUCC